rnacentral:misc_RNA from 1 species
UAUGGAGGGUGCAAACGUUAAUCGGAAUUACUGGGCGUAAAGCGCACGUAGGCGGUAUGUUAAGCCAGCUGUGAAAUCCCCGGGCUCAACCUGGGAAUUGCAGUUGGAACUGGCAUGCUAGAGUGCAGUAGAGGGGUGUGGAAUUUCAGGUGUAGCGGUGAAAUGCGUAGAUAUCUGAAGGAACAUCAGUGGCGAAGGCGACACCCUGGACUGACACUGACGCUGAGGUGCGAAAGCGUGGGGAGCAAACAGG